rnacentral:rRNA from 1 species
AGCAGCCGCGGUAAUUCCAGCUCCAAUAGCGUAUAUUAAAGUUGCUGCAGUUAAAAAGCUCGUAGUUGAAUUUCGGGACUAAUAUGUCGGUCGUGCCUCGGUACGUACUGGUUUAUUGGUUUCUCCUUUCUGAAGAACCAUGAUGUCAUUUAUUUGGUGUCGUGGGGAAUCAGGACUGCUACUUUGAAAAAAUUAGAGUGUUUAAAGCAGGCUCACGCUUGAAUACAUUAGCAUGGAAUAACGAAAUAGGACGUUUGAUUCUAUUUUGUUGGUUUCUAGGAUCGACGUAAUGAUUAAUAGGGAUAGUUGGGGGCAUUAGUAUUCAAUUGCCAGAGGUGAAAUUCUUGGAUUUAUUGAAGACUAACUACUGCGAAAGCAUUUGCCAAGGAUGUUUUCAUUAAUCAAGAACGAAAGUUAGGGGAUCGAAGACGAUCAGAUACCGUCGUAGUCUUAACCAUAAACUAUGCCGACUAGGGAUCGGAUGAUGUUAAUUUUUUAAUGACUCA